rfam:Gossypium arboreum cultivar AKA8401 contig_63043_1, whole genome shotgun sequence.
AAUUCAUGGUGCGGGCAUUUUUGAAUCAACAUUUUGAAACGUUCUAAUGCCUCAUAGAAACUUUCACCCUUCAUCUGUCUAAAGAAAACAAUCUCUUUUCUUAGUU